rnacentral:rRNA from 1 species
AAACUUUCAACAACGGAUCUCUUGGUUCUGGCAUCGAUGAAGAACGCAGCGAAAUGCGAUAAGUAAUGUGAAUUGCAGAAUUCAGUGAAUCAUCGAAUCUUUGAACGCACAUUGCGCCCUUUGGUAUUCCGAAGGGCAUGCCUGUUCGAGCGUCAUUACAACCCUCAAGC